rnacentral:tRNA from 1 species
GCCCGAUUAGCUCAGCUGGUUAGAGCGUCGUACUAAUAUAUCCCACGAUAUAAUGAGUAAUGCGAAGGUCAACAGUUCAAUCCUGUUAUUGGGCA